AGGCGCGGCCUUACACAUGCAGUCGAACGAUGAACCACUUCGGUGGGGAUUAGUGGCGAACGGGUGAGUAACACGUGGGCAAUCUGCCCUUCACUCUGGGACAAGCCCUGGAAACGGGGUCUAAUACCGGAUAUCACUUUCGCGGGCAUCUGUGAAGGUUGAAAGCUCCGGCGGUGAAGGAUGAGCCCGCGGCCUAUCAGCUUGUUGGUGAGGUAAUGGCUCACCAAGGCGACGACGGGUAGCCGGCCUGAGAGGGCGACCGGCCACACUGGGACUGAGACACGGCCCAGACUCCUACGGGAGGCAGCAGUGGGGAAUAUUGCACAAUGGGCGAAAGCCUGAUGCAGCGACGCCGCGUGAGGGAUGACGGCCUUCGGGUUGUAAACCUCUUUCAGCAGGGAAGAAGCGAGAGUGACGGUACCUGCAGAAGAAGCGCCGGCUAACUACGUGCCAGCAGCCGCGGUAAUACGUAGGGCGCAAGCGUUGUCCGGAAUUAUUGGGCGUAAAGAGCUCGUAGGCGGCUUGUCACGUCGGGUGUGAAAGCCCGGGGCUUAACCCCGGGUCUGCAUUCGAUACGGGCUAGCUAGAGUGUGGUAGGGGAGAUCGGAAUUCCUGGUGUAGCGGUGAAAUGCGCAGAUAUCAGGAGGAACACCGGUGGCGAAGGCGGAUCUCUGGGCCAUUACUGACGCUGAGGAGCGAAAGCGUGGGGAGCGAACAGGAUUAGAUACCCUGGUAGUCCACGCCGUAAACGGUGGGAACUAGGUGUUGGCGACAUUCCACGUCGUCGGUGCCGCAGCUAACGCAUUAAGUUCCCCGCCUGGGGAGUACGGCCGCAAGGCUAAAACUCAAAGGAAUUGACG
rnacentral:rRNA from 1 species